UGGCCCCAAUUCUGAAGAUUAAUUUGUGAAUUUGAUAUUCCAUACAAGCGCUGAAGACCUCUUGGUUUCGGAAUCAUCCUGCAAGUUACUUCUCAGAGAAGGCUAAUCAUCCACCAGUGUGGCCACCAGCCUAAAUCAUUACAAAUAGGACAACACCUGCAAAAGAGGGAAACAGUAGAUCAUAUCCGUAACUUUGGUCGGGUUCACUGUCAAUGGUUCCUGUUCAUUGAAUUGCUCUGGUCACUGACGUAGUCAGGUCCUUCACAUGGCAGCAUAUAUUAUUACUGUGUUCUAUUUCCAAGUUGGUUCCGUACUAUUUCUUUAUUAUACGUGCAUGACAGCAUAUAUUACUUGUUAUUUCUUUAUUCUUCGGUGAAAGAAGCUUUUUUGGUGCAUCGACAAAAAUCUUUGCAUGGAAGUGCAGAGGAUAUGAUAGUUUAAAUUACUGGGCUUUCUGGUGUGCAGCUCAGCCAUUGGGCCUGUCGGCCACUCAAGUUGUACCUCAUGCGGGUGUGGUUCUUCUCCAGUUAGUGCGAUGAUGGGCUGGCCCUUCUCUUGCAGAGGAGCAUGGCUGGCCAAAUCUUGUGCUUGUUUUGAGGGCAUUUUGAGGGAGUCAAACGUUUUGAGCAUUAAGGAAGAACUUUAAUUUAAGGAUUAAAGGACAAUGCCAAAUCUUUUAUCUCCCCUCUCCUUUCUGUGCAUGACCAAAAUCUCACAUUUCACCGGCUCUCCAAAAUUCCAUUGGCAUGUUUGUCCCAUUAGUUAUAGUCCAAAGCGUUGAGUAUCCUUAGAACCCCAUAACAGUGGCAGUACUCUCUUGGAGGUCACAAUCAAAUCUUAGUUUAUCGUCCUUCUCCCUUUGGCACUUUUUUGUUGUUGCACAGGAUUAGAAGGGAUGCUGUGGCUGGUAAUGUUGAAAUGUUUUACUGGUAAUGUUGAAAUGUUCUACGGUCCAGCCUCACAGGUUUAAUGGAAAGUAUAUGGCUUUUGAUACAAGCAGGUUGGUCCAAACCGUUCCAUCAGAUCAUGAGAAGUUCGAUCUCUUUGCAUGUCAAGCUACUUCAUCUUUGGGUAAGCAAGGAUGUGGAGGACCUUAGCGGAGUGCCACCGGUUACAGAAGCGCACGAUAGAGGGGGCCAAGUUCCACCUGUUCUCGCCUUCCACUGCCGCACUCUAGGCGGAGCUGCAGGACUGGCUUCUUGCCUCGGGGCCUGGUUCCAGGCCCAGCGGUGCUCGCCCGUUAACCCUUGAGGCCGGCCUCCAUCCCCCAGCCGUUCCGUCAACGGCGAUGAACGGGAUGGAGAUGUAACAGAUGUUCGCGUCGGUGGCGGCAGAGAGGGAGUAAUCAGAACCGGGGCGGAGGAAGAAGCCAGGCACGAAUGUGGCCGACGGUGGACUUGGGCGAGACUAAGGGCGAGUCAACGGGUGGUUUGACCAAUAGUGGCUACCGAGUUGGAGGUUGUUUUAGUUUGACUCGGCCAUCAGAUUCAUGUAUAAAUGGCUGUGAUGGCAUAGUACGAAAUAUAAUGGAUAAGAAAAAGUAUUUAAAUAGGACUCCA